rnacentral:lncRNA from 1 species
AUGAUCCCGUCGUCACUAUUUUUCUAUUCCCUGGAACAGAAAUACGUCCCUCCCGCACUCAGGGCUGGGGCCACGCCAGGGCGUGGUCCCCAGAGUGAGGAUUCUUUGGGGCUUGGAGGCUGCCCACCGGCCGCUCCCGUGAGGACCUUUGGAGAGUGGGAUGAGGGGUCUCCAGACGCGGAUCCAGAACGUCCCCCUGACGCUUCACUGCCACCCUGUGAGCAAGAAGAUGCUGUGAGAACACUCCGUCUUGCAUACGGGUGCAAACAAAAAGAACAAGCGCCGCCGCGAGCUGGAAGGAUCCGGGACCUUGGGAGAGAGGCCUGGAGGAGACCCUGGUGCUGCCGCUCACAGCCGCGUCCCUCUGCCGCUCUGGCCCUGUGCCCCUGCCACAAAGCAGUUCAUUCAUUUACCAGAUGUUUAUGGGAGCCCACUGUGUGCCGCGCACGGCUCUAGGUUCUGGAGAAACGAGAGUGAACGGAGCCACGUAGGAGUUUGCAGCCUGAAGGGAGCCAGACAGUGCACAUCAACAGAACAUGCCAGGCGUGCCCUCGCGGCGGAGCAGGUUGUGGAUCCAGCAUUGUCUCUGUAGUGGUUCGGGUCCCUGCUGUGGCAUGGUUUCCAUCCUUGGUCCAAGAGCUGCUGCGUGCUGCGGGCACAGCCAAAAGGGAAAAUUCAAUUCAAUUCAAUUGCAGCAAUAAAAUAAAAUAUGCUGGCUGGUGACUUGUGCAAGGAAAGAGUAGAAAGCUGGGUGGAGGGUGGCUUAUUUCCACAGGGUGGUCAGGGAGCUCCCAUCGUGGCACAGCAGAAACAAAUCUGACUAGCAUCAUGUGGAUGCAGGUUCAAUCCCUGGCCUUGCUCAAGGGGGUUAAGGAUCUGGCAUUGCCAUGAGCUGUGGUGUGGGCCACAGACAUAGCUCGGAUCUGGCGUUGCUGUGGCUGUGGUGCAGGCCGGCAACUACAGCUCCAGUUGAACUCCGAGCCUGGGAACCUCCGUAUGCCUCGAGUGCAGCCCUAAAAAGAUCAAAAGGGGGCGGCGGGGUGGCGGUGGGAUCUGAAGGAAGUGAAGAGUGAGCCAAGGGGGUCUCUAAGGGAAGAACGUUCCUGGCCCAGAGGACCGCAGGUACCAAGGCCCUGAGGUCUUUGUGCCCCAGUUUAUUGGAGGACCAGCAGGAAGCCUCAUGGGACUAGACUGCAAGACAGAGUCCAAGAGGUGGCUGGGGGCCUGCUUGGACAGGGCCUUGUAGACGAUGGGAAGUAAGGCUGGAGCCACUGGAGGGAAGGACAAGAUACGGUUUCUGUUUUGUUUUGUUUUUCUCUUUUUAGGGCCACACUCAUGGCAUGUGGAGGUUGCCAGGCUAGGGGUCUGAUCAGAGCUAUAGCUGCCAGCCUACACCACAGCCACAGCAAUGCAGGAUCCAAGCCGCACCUGCGACCUACGCCACAGCUCACGGCAACACUGGAUCCUUAACCCACUGAGCGAUGUCAGGGAUCGAACCUGUGUCCUCAUGGAUACCAGUCGGGUUCGUUUCCACUGUGCCACAGUGGGA